UACGUAGGCAGCGAGCGUUGUUCGGAGUUACUGGGCGUAAAGGGUGUGUAGGCGGUUGCUUAAGUUUGGUGUGAAAUCUCCCGGCUCAACUGGGAGGGUGCGCCGAAUACUGAGUGACUCGAGUGCGGGAGAGGAGAGUGGAAUUCCUGGUGUAGCGGUGAAAUGCGUAGAUAUCAGGAGGAACACCUGCGGUGUAGACGGCUUACUGGACCAUAACUGACGCUGAGGCACGAAAGCGUGGGUAGCAAACAGG
rnacentral:rRNA from 1 species